UGCCCUUCUGAGGGGUGAGCAGGCUGAGCAAGGCAUGAGCCCCCAGCCCGUCCUAGUCCUUCCUGCGUGGCUGUUUCCUGAGUGCUGCCCACUCAGCAUGCACUACCCACCCUAGGCCAGGAUGAUGCUGGGCACACCAGGGCAGCAGGGAGAGAACCCAUCCUUGCCUUUGUGAAGGGGGAAUCGUCAUAAGCAGGGAAUGAUUGCAACAUAUGAGAGACUGUGGCAUGGACUGCACCUGUCGCCUCUUGGUCUCACCUUUCUGGAGCCUCCGUUGGCCCUCAGGUCUAUGCAGACUGCGCCCCUCCCUCCCCUCCACCAGGCAGCCAGGCAGCCCCUCGCUUCUUCUUCAUCCACCCCGGGGCCUCUUGGACCUCACCUGCAGGACGUGCUCUGCAGUUUCCUGCACACCUGCAAGUGUGUGGGGGCCCAUGCCUGUGAGCCAUCCUUGAGCAAAGGCAUAAAGACCCAAGGACAAGGCCCUCCAGGCCCCUGCAAGUGGGAGGUUCAUGAGCCUCCUUGGAAGGUCCUGAAGGACAGAGCUCCAGCCACCCCAGCAGUAGCCAGCUCCGUGACCCCCGUUCCCUUCCACUCCUGUUUCACUCCCUAUCCCUCAGGGGAAUGCAGCUAAAGCAGCGGUGUCUGGGGAGCACCCAGCAGGGCCGUGACUCAGGCUGGGGAUCAGGGAGGGCCUCCCUGCAUAGGUGAGAUUUAAGCCAAGCUCUGAAGCAGGAAUGGGAGUUGUCCGGGCAAAGAGGCAUCCUGGGUGAGGAAAGCAGCCUGUGCCAAGGCCUCGAGGUCAGUCUCAGACAUUCCCGACACUUGUGCUUCGUGGCCCUUUCUCAGCCCUGGCUGGCAUCUUGCGAUGUAGGGGGGAGAGAAGCCAGGAGGAGAGCAGCUCAGCCCACGAGGAGGUGCCCAUGGAGGCCCAGGGGCCCCCCUGCACCCUCCCCAGUUUUAAGACCCUAGACCAGUCUCUCACCCUCCAGAGUCUUGGUUUCUCCACCUGUGAAAGAACCACUUUUCCUUCCUGCCAGGAGCUGAAGUCAAAGGCACAGCAUUAUUGGGACACAAUGGGGAGUGGUGGGCCCAGCACUGGGACCCAUGCUGUGUGUCCCAAGAGCAUGGAAUGUUGGCAGGGAGGGGCGGAGGCCAGGCACCGAGCUCCCUGCUGCUCUGCGGCUGCCCCACCUGCAGCCCUUCCCUUCACCCCACCGCCAGUUUGCUCUGCUCUUGGGUGGCCAGUCACCCAGGGGUGGUAUCCAGGGAGGCUCUUGCAGGCCCAGCUUCACUGGCCUGGAAGGGCUAAGCUGCCUGGCCCAGGGGUGUGUCCACUUCAUCCUGGGCAGGAUAUGGGCAUCUCACAGGUGGAAUUCCAUGGCGGGGCUGGAGCCAGGGGGUAACUUGGCAGGACAGAGGCCCAGCCACCAGGAAGCUCGCCUGCUGAUGGCCAAGCUCAGGACACCUUGCACCCCUGUACCUGAGGACAGGCUGCGACUGAUGAGAGUGGCUUCAUCCUCAGAGGGGAAGUGUCCUGGAAGGAUGUGGCUGGAGGCACCCAGCCCUGCGGGAGCCCCUUUAAAUGAGGGGAUGCCUCAGGAAGCAGGGUGAGGGGGGCAGAAACCGGGAACUCUGGAUUUCAAGACUUGGAAGAAAAGUGCUGCAUUGUGCGGUGGCAUCUGCUUGUGGGGACAAGUGCUCCCUGGUGAGACCUCUCCAUCCCCUCCCCGCCCCCCCACGUCUCACACUCUUUCUCUCUCUCCCUGUCCUCCUAUCUUGGCCUUGCACUCGGGUUGUGGGUCGUGUUUGGUCUGUCAUCACUCCCCUCCCUGUGGCUGCCAUUCAGAGCUGGCAGUAAUGAAAAGCGCCGGAUUCCCGCUCACUGGGCCCCAGCAGCACUACAGAGACAUGGAGCCCUUUGCUGCAAAUAAUUAACUUGGUCCCAUGUUGCAUAACAUCCUAAAAAGCUUUCCGGGGCGAGCACCAGCCAGACACUGUGAGCUCAUCAAUACUGCAUCGCAUCGGACACUACUGCUGUGUGGUUUCAUUAAAAAUUUAAUUUGUGGUUUAAA